AUGGGCAAGAACGCCCUAGAAGACACCAUUAUAGGGGAAAGCCAGCAUCUUACAAGGAACUUUGAGACUGACAAAGGAGAGACACAUCUACUGAUUAUUUCAAUGAUGAUACUUUGGUGGUACUUGUUAAUAAUCUGUUUGCAGCAGGUACAGAGAGCAUGGUUUCCACUCUGUGCUGGGGGAUUCUGUUCAUGUCACGAUAUCCUGAGAUCCAGAAAAAGGUCCAUGAUGAGAUUGCCAAAGUCAUGGGGUCCACCCAGCCUUGAAUGGCACACUGAACUCAAAUGCCGUACACAGAUGCUGUCAUUCUCGAAGUGCAGAGAUUUGCUGAUAUCCUGCCCACAGGCUUACCCCGAGCAACCACCACAAAUACUAUAUUUAAAAACAACUAUAUUCCAAAGCAGGUACCAGAUGAAAAUUUGUUAGAGUAUAUGAAUACCCUGCUGCUGCUGCUGCUGCUGCUAAGUUGCUUCAGUCGUGUCCGACUCUGUGCAACCCCAUAGACAGCCUCCUACAAGGCUCCUCUGUCCCUGGGAUUCUCCAGGCAAGAACACUGGAGUGGGUUGCCAUUUCCUUCUCCAAUGCAUGAAAGUGAAAAGUGAAAGUGAAGUUGCUCAGUCGUGUCCGACUCUUAGCGACCCCAUGGACUGCAACCUACCUCAAUCUCAAAUGCCAUCUUCCCCUUCUCUACUUCCUGUUCCUUCUAGAAUACACUGCUUCUCUAAAAUUGCCAACUGAGUCAUCGUAUGUCUCUAAGAGCCACCUUUUUAGGAAGGAAUUUCAUCUUUGUCAUUAAUAACACUUUUAUCUCUAGGGCACUGAGGUCAUCUUUUUGUUGACCUCUGUACUUUGAGAUCAAACACAGUGGGAAAACCCAGCCACCUUUAACCCAGAGCAUUUCCUUGACUCUAUCGAGAAGUUUAUCAAGAAGGAAGCUUUCAUAUCCUUUUCAGUAGGUAAGGCAUCUUACUUUAGAAAGGUGAUUCAAAAAAUCUGGAGAUACUUGGCCCUGGCUCAAGGCCAGGGCUAAGGUUCUGUAAUUUGCCACGUGGCACUAAACUUCAGAAAUAUGGAAAAGUUCUCCCCCAGCUUUCAGUUGGCUGUAGGACAUUGGGCAUUGGAAUGACAUUUUCUUAUGGAAUCCUAGAAGAUUCCUUGUGGCUAAGGCUAGCGCAGAGCCUUGGGAAUUUGAAGAGAAAGUUGAGCAGGGCAACCACAGGUAAAUCCAUUUCAUCUAUAAAAAGCCUUACUUUAAUUGUGCAAAUACCAGUGUUUCUUUUAGAAUUUCUUCUUUCUUUUUUUGCAGUAUAGUUGAUUUACAAUGUUGUGUUAGUUUUAAGUGUACAGAACUAUGAUUCAGUUAAAUAUAUACAUAUAUCUAUUCUUUUUCAGAUACUUUUCCCUUAUAUGUUAAGCUGAAACUCCAGUACUUUGGCCACCUCAUGUGAAGAGUUGACUCAUUGGAAGAGACUCUGAUGCUGGGAGGGAUUUGGGGCAGGAGGAGAAGGGGACGACAGAGGAUGAGAUGGCUGGAUGGCAUCACUGACUCGAUGGACGUGAGUCUGAGUGAACUCCGGGAGUUGGUGAUGGACAGGGAGGCCUGGUGUGCUGCAAUUCAUGGGGUCGCAAAGAGUCGGACACGACUGAGCGACUGAUCUGAUCUGAUAGGUUAUUACAACAUUUGAGUAUAGUUUGUUGUGCUAUAGUGCUAUACGAACUUAUUCCAGUUUUUAAACAUCUUGACAUUUCCCCCAAUAAUCCAUAUUUUAAAAAUAGUACUAGCCAAAUACUCUUCUUCAAGUGCCUUAGCAUGAUCUAGUUUCUAGUCAUACAUGCAGUCUCAGGUCUGAGACUCGUGACCUCAUGCUUGGCGUUCUAGUCAGAGUCCUGUUUCUUCCCACCCUCCAAUGCAUCACCACACCUGACUCAUCUUCCCUGUGUGCCUGGCUCACUUCUCUCCAUGUGUACCAGAACUUAGAUACAAAGAUGUCAUACGAAGGUGAGACCUCCUUUAGCUCACUUUCCUAUGGGUUCUCAUCACAUACGUGGUUUUACCUAUUAUAACCUGUUUCACAUUAAAACCUUAAAAUUGUCUCCCUCAGGGGAGCUCUAUUAAUUUUCUAUUUCCAAUGCUUCAACUAGCAGACAGAGCCUAUAAAACUCACAAGAGGUUGACUGACUCACACAUUCUGAAGGAGAAGAAAUCACACAUGGAUGGUUUCCCUCUUUGUCCACACUGUUUUUUCAGAUUUUUGGUCUGUCUUAUAACCCUUCACUACCAUCCACCUCUCUAGGUCCCCUCUCUAGUGUGCUGGGGAGUCACUGGCCAAGAUGGAGCUUUUGCUUUUCUUCAUGAGUCUCCUGCAGAAGUUCACCUUCCAGCCACCCCCUGGGGUCUCCCAUCUGGACUUGGACCCAACCCGGGAUACUGGUGUCGUCAUCCAACCAAUGCCUCACAAGAUACGUGCUCUGCCCCGAGCCAGGGUCUGCGUGCCAGCUACUGUCCCAGUUCUCUGUUAUUUUGCGGUCCUUUGCACUGACUGCACUGUUCUGCACCUUGACAGCUGUGUACUCUGCCGAGUCCUUCACUGCUUCAGCAGGCAGUCACAUCAUCCCAGAGGCCUCUGGUGUUAAGUCAGAUUGGGUUCCUCUGUUAAUCUCUGCAGCAAAAACCUCCUUACUGCCGUUCUCCAAGACAGUACACAUCAACACAACAUUUGACAAAUAGAACCUACUAGUGCCAUAAGGUUUUGCCCUUUAGUCCGAGAAACUGUCCUUUUCCUCCAAGGCAUAUGAGACAUCUAUGUAUUACUAGCUCUAAUUGCUUGGGGCAGGGCAGGGGGUGCAGUUUUAAUUGGUUGGUGCAGGGGAGGGGGGUGCUGUAUAAUGCUUUGUCUAGAAUGCUCAUGAAUAUCUUUAAAACUGCAGUGAAGAAAAUUUAACUCUUAAGCGAGGGUCCCAUUAAACAUAAGAUAUUGGCUUCAUUCAUUGGUUCAGUCAAUAUAGGAUGACUAAUAACAGAUCAUUGCUUGUGAGUAUGACCAAUUUGCUGAGGUCAGAAAAUGAGGUUCCUGCUUCUGACAUAACUGGAACUUGAAGACCACCCCCCUUCUCUAUGUUCAGUGCUCUGAGUCCCAGUAAAGUCAUACCCAAGGGACCUAUGAGCAGAAUAAAGAAAUCAUUGUCAGUUCCCGUGAGACA
rnacentral:lncRNA from 1 species